rnacentral:tRNA from 2 species
GGGACUAUAGUUAAACAUAACAUUUGAGUUGCACCCAGAAAGUACUACACCAGUAGUUAGUCUCA